GACAGUUGGAGCUGGAAGGGACCUCUGCGGGUUUUCUGGAGCAGCACACUCCUGUGAGCACAGCUGCCAGUCUGUGCUGCUGCAGAGGAUGGCAGGCAGCUGCUGCACUGCUCUGCUCUGCUGCGGGCCACACAUGGCUGACAAUGAUAGAAGCUCUGCUGGUGCCCUGCCUCUUCUUGCCCACACUGCAGCAGGGACUGUGCUCAGGACUGACUGAGGAAACGGGGCUGAGCAAGUGGGGACAGACAGGUUAUGUGACAUGCUCAAGAUCACACGAGCAGUCUGUGUCAGAGUGGGAAACUGCACCUGGAUCUCUCACUUGUGAGGCUGUUGUUCUUAGGACUUUGUCCUUCUGACUUCAAGCAAAGAUUGACUUUGUCUGUGUCCUUUCUAUGCCUACAAAUGCCGCUGUGGGGCCAGGAGCUCAGGCCUCUUGCCUCCCGAGUUAUUGUCCUCAUGCACAGAACUCUCCAAGUCCGCAUGUCAGACUCUACAUGAGGCCUCAGAAUAGAAGCCACAGUGGCAAAGGGAGGAGCCACAGCAGCCUGAUGGGGAGAUGGGUGACAUCACACUGGAGUGGCCAACCUUGCUUCAGUAGCUGGAAGGGGGCAUGUCCAGGACUCAGAGGUUAUUCUACACUACCUCACAUCACUGCAAGGGGUGGAAGAGGGAGUCUCUUCCAGGAAGAAGGGAUUCCUUGCAGUCGAGCAAGCAAGUCAAGGCAGAUGGAGCAGGAGGGUAACACUCGUCGUGAGCCAGAGAGAGUGAGUUGGAUGAUGCUGGACCCAAGGGAGACGGAGCAGUUGGGGGGAGGUGGCUGUGUUCAGUUAUUGUGUGUUGUUGGGGCUUUCCGUAGUGAGCAAUAAUGUUUCUUUUCUUGUACCCUCUGUCAGCAAUGUUGUUUCUGUUACUGCUUGUUUUCUUAUCUCAUUGUUGUUUCCAGUAAAUUGUUCUUAUCUCAACCUGUGAUCUUUACUUUUUGUGCCUCCAAGUCUCUUCUCCAUCCCACCACAGGGGAGAGGGGGAAAGGGGAGGAGCAAGCAAGCAGCAGUGUGGUUUGGAGUCUCAGUGUGAGCACUAAACUGGGGAGUGCCAUUCCUGAACAACAACAUCUGGUAAAGAAAAUUUGACUGAUGCCGUUUUUGAAACAAGACCGUUCUGUUUAGGCAGAAAUGGCAUUUAUAAUAAAUACAGUACUGGUGGAAGAAAGACAAAUCUAUUGUCUGAGAAGAACAAGCUAUUUAAAUUCCACAGUGAUGGAAAAAUUGAAGGGAAAGAGAUGGCUGAGCGGCUUUGUGAGUCGCACAAUGCCUCGAGUGCUGCAAUGAGAGCAGAAAAUAAUAGUGAUCUGCUUUAGAGAUUGUGUCUGUUUCAAACACUCAUCAUUUCAAACAAUGAUGACAACUCUUCCAGUCUCAUUUUAGUACUGUUGCUGUUAUGGAAACUUUCUCUGUCCUCAUCAGCUCGAUUAUGUGUCUUUACAACACUAAUGAAUCACAGCUGACACUUCAGGGACUCAGCCUCUUUUGAAGGUAUUUGCUUCCUUCGUAAGCUCUUUGGUCAAGUUUAAAAACUUAUUUUCAGAGGCUGGGUGAACUGUAUGAAGAGAUUUUGAGGAUUCAUUGAGAAACAAGUGAAAACAGCAAUGACUGUUUAUGUAUUGGUACUUCUACCACUGAUACCUUUUUAAACUAUGCCUUUAAAUUUUUGAGAGGCAGUCAGAUGUAGACA
rnacentral:lncRNA from 13 species